CAUCCAGCAGCUUCUCAUAUACAAAUAGACCAAAAAAGCAUUGUGAAAAAACUAAAAAGGCGACAUUGUUGGCAAAACAUUUUUUUUAAUCAAGGACAUUGAGUAUGACAAUUAAGAUGGCGAAUACUUGAAAAAGUCACACACAAGCUAGAUUAUGAUAUAAAAAUCAUUAUUGCAACGUGAAUGCUACUGGAUUUGGUUGCUACAAUCCAGGCACCAGAGAGGGUUAAAUGAGGAUUUUAAUAUGCCAUGCUAUUUGUGAACAUAUUUAACUAACACUUUUAUCCACUCUUUUCAGAUAACCAGACUACAUGAAUUUUCUACAGAGAUAGACAAUAUUUCCAUUCUCCCUCCCCUCCGUGUAGGAGACAGAAUCACUGCUAACAAAUUUCCAGCAUGAGAUGCUCCAGCUACUGUUGAUCUACAAAUCCCACAAUUCCUGGAUGUUGGGAGAUAAGAAUCCCAGGCAGCAUAAAAGAAGAAGAUGAUUAGUUAAAGAAUGGGAUGGUAUAUUCCACUGUGUCUCACAGCAGGGAGGUCAUUGAUGGAGUAAAGAAGUGCACAGAGCAGGGAUAUCACAGACACACAAGGACUUGCUGUGAGAAAGUGAAUGGGGUAAUUGUUAUAGUGGAAGAAUAUCUGCAGAGAAGUCGGAGGAAGCAAGAGAAAUGGGCGGACUGAGAGGUUUUGGGUGUUUAAUAAAAGGUGUUGCUAAUAUGGCGCUGCUUCAAUUCUACAUGAAGAAUGAAUAGAAUAAAGGAAUGUGUCUCCUGUGCUUGUUGUGCUGUGUGAAUUGUGUGAUGGGACCAAGAAAAGCUACAGAAGGUCAGUGUAGCCUUUAGUUUGUCCUCCAGGAGUUGUUAAUCCCUUCUCUAUUGGUAGCCACACACUCCAUUCCCAGAUCCAGGCCAGAGAUUGGAGCUCACAGGUGGAAAAGGAAAGUGAAUUGGAGUGUCAGCAAGUGGGAGAGAGUGUGAGGGACAGAGGAGCUGGGGGCUGCAGCUGCAGAAGGUGAGCGGAGCCGUGAGUUGGUGGAGCUGGUCAGUGUGGCUACCAGAGUAGGGUUGUACCACCCCCCUUUAAGGGGAGAUUAGUUGCUCAGCGACUAAUCUGCCCAAAAUGCCUUCCCAUCUGCAAUAAUUUAGGGUGGGAUGGCAUGUGAGUUGCCCGAAGUUUCCUUGUGAGGCAACUGAAGCAAUUCACAUGCC